rnacentral:rRNA from 1 species
AACGAACGCUGGCGGCAGGCCUAACACAUGCAAGUCGAACGCUCCGCAAGGGGCGUGGCGCACGGGUGAGUAACACGUGGGAACAUGCCCUUGGGUACGGAAUAACGGCGGGAAACUGCCGAUAAUACCGUAUGAUGUUUUCGGACAAAAGAUUUAUCGCCCAAGGAUUGGCCCGCGUCUGAUUAGCUAGUUGGUGGGGUAAUGGCCUACCAAGGCUACGAUCAGUAGCUGGUCUGAGAGGACGACCAGCCACACUGGGACUGAGACACGGCCCAGACUCCUACGGGAGGCAGCAGUGGGGAAUAUUGGACAAUGGGGGAAACCCUGAUCCAGCCAUGCCGCGUGAGUGCUAAGGCCUUCGGGUUGUAAAACUCUUUCGCGAGGGAAGAUAAUGACGGUACCUCGAGAAGAAGCUCCGGCUAACUUCGUGCCAGCCGCCGCCGUAA